CGGCAGUGGGCCCAGCCUUGAAUUCCCCUGACUCUCGGUUUCCUCAUCCUAUCAGUAGGGACGGAUAACCGUGCCCAACCAGUCUGCAUCAGAGAGUGGUGAGGCUGAAGGAAAGGUGCUCUGUAAAGCUUUACCGGGGCGGCACGGAACAUGGUGGGCAUUGGCGACGCGGCAGUAGAAACUGCUGGCCCCAAUGGGCCCAUCAGGAGCCAGACCACGGCAGGAUGAUGGAGCAGGUGAACGGGUGGCAGGCCAAGGUGGGUGCGAGCAAGGGCCCGGUCACCCUGUAGACGGCGACCAGCAGCUGAGGGAGCUGAGCAGGGGGCCCAGCCCCAAAUGAUCACCCCGCAGACGGUGACCAGUGGCAGCAGCGGGGGGGUGGGGCCGGCAAGUGGGCAGCACCAGGCCAAGGCAGAUGCAAGCGGGGGCCCUGAUCACCUGCCGGUCACCCGGCACACAGUGACCAGAGGUGGGGGGGGCGGGCUGGCAAACGGGCAGCGCUAGGCCCAGGCAGGGUACCAGGCGGGGCUGCAGGGCUGGGGGGUGCAAGCUAGGGCCCGAUCUCCGCAGACCACCCUAAGGGACCCCACCUGUGCACGAAUUUUGUGCACUGGGCCUCUAGUACAGAAUAAUGCCCCAAAGAUGUUCAUGUCCUACUCUUCUAGAACCUGUGAAUAUGUUAACCUUACAUGGUAAAAGGGACUUUGCAUCUGUGAUUUAAUUAAGGAUUUUGAAAUGGAGAGAUUAUCUUGGAAUCAGGCUGGGCUGGAGACAGAAGAGCCAUAAUCAGAAAAGGAAAUAGGAUGAUGGAAGCAGAGAUCAGAGAGAUUUGGACAGUCUGUACCGCUGACUUUGAAGAUGGAGCCAGGAAUGCAGGCAUCCUCUAGAAGCUGGAAAAGGCAAGGAAAUAAUUUCUCCUAGAACCCCCAGAAAGAACACAGCCCAGUCAAUGCCUUGAUUUCAAGAUUACUGAUCUCCAAAACUGUAAGAUAAUAAAUUUGUGUUUUAAGCCCCUAA